rnacentral:lncRNA from 1 species
UCCCCUCAAACUCAAGUGCGAGCUCUGUGGACGGGUGGACUUUGCCUACAAGUUCAAGCGUUCCAAGCGCUUCUGCUCCAUGGCUUGUGCAAAGAGGUAUAAUGUGGGAUGCACCAAACGGGUGGGACUUUUUCACUCAGACCGGAGCAAGCUGCAGAAGGCAGGGACCACAACCCACAACCGCCGGCGGGCCAGCAAGGCCAGUCUGCCCACACUUACCAAGGACACCAAGAAGCAGUUACUGCUGCCUUGCAGCUGGCACAUAGCCAGGAAGACUCCAGCCGGUGCUCAGAUAACUCAAGCUAUGAGGAGCCCUUGUCACCCAUCUCAGCCAGCUCAUCCACCUCCCGACGGCGACAAGGCCAGAGGGAUCUGGAGCUCUCUGACAUGCACAUGAGGGACCUGGUGGGCAUGGGACACCACUUCCUACCAAGUGAGCCCACAAAAUGGAAUGUAGAAGAUGUCUAUGAGUUUAUCCGCUCUCUGCCAGGCUGCCAGGAGAUCGCUGAGGAGUUCCGUGCCCAAGAGAUUGACGGGCAAGCCUUGCUGCUGCUCAAGGAGGACCAUCUAAUGAGCGCCAUGAACAUCAAGCUGGGCCCUGCCCUGAAGAUCUACGCACGCAUCAGCAUGCUCAAGGACUCCUAGAGUCUGCUGCUUGCCCACUGCGCCACCAGGCAGCCAGGGUUCUAGCCCCAGGCGGGCCCCGCCUCCUGAUGGAGCAGAGCCACACAGACAUUCCUGAGGAGCCCAAGAAAGGGCCAGUUUGGAGGGAAGGGCUCUCCCU